rnacentral:rRNA from 1 species
UCCUACGGGAGGCAGCAGUGGGGAAUUUUUCGCAAUGGGGGCAACCCUGACGAAGCAAUGCCGCGUGAAUGAAGAAGGCCUUCGGGUUGUAAAGUUCUUUCGUGGGAGACGAAAAGGUAAUCGCUAAUAUCGGUUACUGUUGACGUGAACCCAAGAAGAAGCACCGGCUAACUCCGUGCCAGCAGCCGCGGUAAUACGGAGGGUGCGAGCGUUAAUCGGAAUCACUGGGCGUAAAGGGCGCGUAGGCGGUGGGUUACGUCUGCCGUGAAAUCCCCGGGCUCAACCUGGGAAUGGCGGUGGAAACGGGCUGACUAGAGUAUGGGAGAGGGUGAUGGAAUUCCAGGUGUAGCGGUGAAAUGCGUAGAGAUCUGGAGGAACAUCAGUGGCGAAGGCGGUCACCUGGCCCAAUACUGACGCUGAGGCGCGAAAGCGUGGGGAGCAAACAGGAUUAGAUACCCGAGUAGUC